GAUGAACGCUGGCGGCGUGCCUAAUACAUGCAAGUCGAGCGAACGGACGAGAAGCUUGCUCCUCUCCUGUUAGCGCGGGACGGUUGGGUAACCCGUGGAUACCCUCCCUUUAAGCCUGGGAUAACUUCGGGAACCCGGGGCUAUUCCCGGUUACUCUUUUGCUCCGCAUGGUUCAAGCGUGAAAGACGCUCUUCCUUUCACUUAUAGAUGGAUCCGCGCUGCAUUAGCUAGUUGGUAAGGUAACGGCUUACCAAGGCAACGAUGCAUAGCCGACCUGAGAGGGUGAUCGGCCACACUGGAACUGAGACACGGUCCAGACUCCUACGGGAGGCAGCAGUAGGGAAUCUUCCGCAAUGGGCGAAAGCCUGACGGAGCAACGCCGCGUGAGUGAUGAAGGUCUUCGGAUCGUAAAACUCUGUUAUCAGGGAAGAACAUAUGCGGAAGUAACUGCGCACAUCUUGACGGUACCUGAUCAGAAAGCCACGGCUAACUACGUG
rnacentral:rRNA from 1 species